rnacentral:rRNA from 1 species
GAUGAACGCUAGCGGCAGGCCUAACACAUGCAAGUCGAGGGGUAACUAGAGUGAUAGCAAUAUUACUUUGGCUAGACCGGCGCACGGGUGCGUAACACGUAUGCAACCUACCUUAUACUGGGGAAUAACUUCGAGAAAUCGGCGCUAAUACCCCAUAACAUUGCGAAGAGGCAUCUCUUUGCAUUUAAAGCUCCGGCGGUAUAAGAUGGGCGUGCGUCCAAUUAGCUAGUUGGUGAGGUAACGGCUCACCAAGGCUACGAUUGGUAGGGGUUCUGAGAGGAUGAUCCCCCACACUGGUACUGAGACACGGACCAGACUCCUACGGGAGGCAGCAGUGAGGAAUAUUGCGCAAUGGACGAAAGUCUGACGCAGCCAUGCCGCGUGCAGGAAGACGGCCCUACGGGUUGUAAACUGCUUUUGUACGGGAAUAAACCCCACUACGAGUAGUGGGCUGCAUGUACCGUAAGAAUAAGGAUCGGCUAACUCCGUGCCAGCCGCCGCGGUAA